rnacentral:rRNA from 1 species
AGCGAACGCUGGCGGCAGGCUUAACACAUGCAAGUCGAGCGGGCACUUCGGUGUCAGCGGCAGACGGGUGAGUAACACGUGGGAACGUACCCUUCGGUUCGGAAUAACGCUGGGAAACUAGCGCUAAUACCGGAUACGCCCUUUUGGGGAAAGGUUUACUGCCGAAGGAUCGGCCCGCGUCUGAUUAGCUAGUUGGUGGGGUAAUGGCCUACCAAGGCGACGACCAGUAGCUGGUCUGAGAGGAUGAUCAGCCACACUGGGACUGAGACACGGCCCAGACUCCUACGGGAGGCAGCAGUGGGGAAUAUUGGACAAUGGGCGCAAGCCUGAUCCAGCCAUGCCGCGUGAGUGAUGAAGGCCUUAGGGUUGUAAAGCUCUUUUGUCCGGGACGAUAAUGACGGUACCGGAAGAAUAAGCCCCGGCUAACUUCGUG